CAGGUCCUUCGUCUUCAAACGACUGAUCUCCGUAUAGUUCUCCUGCAGUCCUGUUCCCCUAUCGCUCGUCGACGGUGGCGGCUGCACAGAUCUGGUGCUUACCUGGUGGACGACGACUACUCCCUGGGCAGUUGCUCCCUGCCUCCUCCGGUCCUCCCCCUCCCACUCCGGCUUCCAGGUCUCUUGGCUCCAUCUACCGCGCAUCCCGACGACGCGCUGCACAUCCUCGUCAGGGACUGGCCGGGCCGCCGCCGCCGGUCUCCUCCACCCCGAUGACCACGGGCUCCCCACCCGCUCAGAUGCACAUGUGUACCUUUCCGGAGCCAAGCUGGUAGUGGUCGAGUGGACGGUGGUGUCUCCACGGUCGCGUCCUCCCCGGCAGUCUAGAUCCAGCAGUAUCUCACCGUAGGCAAGCUGGUGGUGCUCGAUCUGCUCGCCUUCUUCGCCUCGCAGGCUCAGCAUCAAGUACGAGCGGACGCGUCGCUGGACGAAGCCACGGGCAAUGGGACGAGGCAUCGGCGACACUGACUGCAGGAUUGACACCGUCUCUGCAGGUCCCUGAUGUGGGUGCACCGCACUGCUUGGCGGUGCAUGGCCGGAGCUCCCGCCGACCAUCAGGUUAAGGCGGGGAGAGCAGGUGGCAUGCAAACUGAAUCAGGCGGAGAGCGCGGGCACUCGAAGACGCGACUCCUGAAUGACGGCUUGACCACAGCGGUCGACAAUCUGAAAAUAUCACCGGUAAAAUACUGGUUGCUUCUAUUUAAAGACAUUAUAACUGUGCACUCUAGGAGGCUUCUCACGCCCUCACCAUUCUGAACCGCCCGAUCCAUCCCCUAGACGUUUUUUGGCCGUUGGAUUGACUUUUCGGUGAAAACACUUCCCACAACUGGGCUGGAUAUUCUAUGGGCCGCUAUUCCUGGAACAAAAUCCGCGUUCUCUAAUUAACUGGGCCCUCUCGGUUGCGGGGUAUGACAGAAAAAUGGCUUGCAGGCCUAGCAUCGGACAAAGCCCACCAAGCAAAUCAGUAAUCCGAUCACACUUCAGCCAUGAGAAAAAAAAACGAUCCAAAGAGAGAUCGAUCGAGCGAACGGCAGAUAGCCUUCCUGAUCGGCCGGCCAAGGCGGAGCGACAAUGCCAGAGAGGCGACGCGAGAGUCACCGACCAAAGCGGAUCUCCUCGCACACCUCGGCAACCGAAGCGGUAGAAACAUGCGAAACGGCACGGCAGACUUAGAUCGACGUCCGAUCUGCCGGUAGUUCCUGGAAGCCUUCAUAGCGGUUGAUGUGCGCCACUCACGGCGUUGAUUAGUGGAUGUAUGUUAUUGCUUUGGCAGCCUACACCUGUCGUCGUUCGUGCGCUUGUAAAUAUAUGCUUCGUGGCCUCAUGCUCCCCCGUUGUUCCAGCAGCAGAACCAAGCAGCUCCUCCACCACCCAUGUGUCCUUCUCACUAUGGGUUUUCGUUCAUUAUCUCGAGCUUCAUCUUGUGCAGGACUGUCCAUGUUGAUUUGGCAACCUUCUGUCUUCUCCCCUGUUUGAGAUUUCUCUUCAUGCGCUUUCUGAUAAUCUCUUGAGAGAGUAUUUCCAUUAGGGCCUGCCAAGUGUUUGGUACUUGUUCGGCACGGUCGAUUCUGAUUUUUGGGACUUCACAGUUACAGAGAAUAGAUGAGGCCAUUUUAUAUCUGAAAAUUAUUAUCUUCCCCUCUGCCGCUUUAAAUCUCUUCAGGUUCAGGUUGAUUUUAAGUUUUGGUAGCAAUUGGUGGAUCGGUUAACAAGUACUACAACUACUAUUUGCUAUUACCAUGCACUUAGUUUUUUCACUGUAUUGGUUACCUGAUGAAUCAUGCAGUUAUUCAGGUUAUGACUUAUGAAAGGAAAAUAUUGAUUGUGCUGGUGAACAUAAAGCUGGUGGGAACUCUCUUAUAAGUCUUACUAUAUUGACAUUUAGACCUAAAAUAGCUUCAGAACUGAUUCAGGUACAACCGAAAAUUCUAUGAAAUGUCACCAUGGGUGAGAAUAGCUACAGCAUCUACAAUGCAUACACUUAUAUGUAGUUUUUUAAAGGGGAAUUUAGCCUCAUAUGUAUAUGUGUUAGUCUUAUAUGUAAAAUUUAGCCUCAUAUGGUGCCUUACGCCAUCCUGUGUCCAGUAUGUGACACGUGAUAGUACUUGUUUGAUUAAAUUCUGAGUUUCUGAUUGUAUUGUCCAUCUUGCACAUGAUAGUACCUGCUAUCAGAAUAUUCUCUCAUAACUGUGAGCUUUCCUUCUUUUGUUUUGUGCAAGUCGACCCCUUUUCGAUGAUGACCUAUUUUGGACAGGCUCUUCACUUACCAUAUGGAGCUUCCAGUUUGUAACUUAUUUAGAGUAGCAUUCAGUCAGGUUGCUCUUAAUAAAUGAAAGAUCUUAUUACUACAUAUCCACAUGGCUCCUUGUAUGGUACAUCUCAGUGCUAUUUGAUUCCCUACCUAAUUAAAUUCCCGCAUUAGGAAUCUUCGUCCGCGGAUGUAAUGCUGCACUCAAGAAUCGAGCAGAUUUCUUUCUUUCUUUUUGCUGUUGAAGAUGGAUGUCCUGUGUAUAAACCAGCGAGGAUUUAAUUGGUGUGUCAUGCAUAAAAGUUAAAGUCAACAUUGAAAGUUUGUCAAACUUCAUGUACAUGUUUGUUUCCUACUGCUGAUUUAAUUGGCAGUUUCUUAUAGUAAUACUAGAUUGUUGUGUAUGUUUUCAUAACAAGCCAAUUUGUAUACUGACUACUUUUGAACUGACUGACGCCAUAAAUCCAUCCAAAAUCAAUAAAACUCAUGUGUCCUCUGCCAACAAAUAGUUCCAACAUAAGUAGGUAAUAAAUUAGGAUUGUGUACAUUGCAAAAACUGCCUUGCAGUACAUUUGUCAAAUAUCCAUCAAGAGUCUAUAUUAAGGCACGACCAGUAAGUCCAACUGAAUCAACUUCCAAGUCCACUUGACACAACACAAAUCCCAGCUCUCAUCUAAUACCACAUUACUUUCUUGCAAAAAUCUUAUUGUCCGAUAACUAAGUAAUGCCACGAUCGAGUUUUUGCAAAGUUUUUUUUCAUCGUGUGUCCAUGGCUCUGUAUAUUUACAAAUAUUAUAUUAUUUAGUUGUCAAAAUAGACGGGUGCGGCAACGCGCGCCAUCGAUGAUCUAGUUGCUUCUAUGGGAUAAUAAAAUACACCGGUAAAGUAUUUACAGGCGUAUACAAGGCCUACAAUCGGGGUCUUAAGGAGGUAAAGAAUUCUACUUGCUGUUAAACCCUCGCUGAUUCUCCAUAGAAAAACUUGUAACGCCCUGAACUUGUGUGAAAAUUUUGAUUGAAGCAAGAUCUUUUUUAGAAUCUCUAGUCUCUACAUACAAGAGCAGAAAAUGGUUCUCUUCCAUGUAUUUGACUCAUGUUUUUUGCUUUGGAUCUGUGUGCGGACUUGCCUUUGUGCCGUCGUAAUAUAUUUAUUUGUUUGUUGCUGUUAGAGUUUCAAUUUUCCUUUUUUUAGAACCAAAAUUCAUGGGCAGCAAUAAGAAAGUGCUGGGAUUGCAAUGUCAUAUCAGUGCUCCAGAAAAGUGUUCCUUUUACGUUUUAACCAUGCAUUUUUUAAAGUAAUACUUGCUGUCCAAUGGAAUCAAUCAGAAUAACAACUUCAGUGUAAUGAAGGAUAAAGCAUUUUUACUUUCAGCUCCUCCCUGUGCUUGUGAUGGAUUGGUCCAUUAUCUGUGCUUGACAUGUACUCUCAUAUUUGUGUUUGGGGUGGUCCAGCAUGGGAUGAACUAGGAACAGAUUGGCUUAACCAUAUAAAGUUUUCUUGCAUAAUCAGUGAUCUAGUACAAGCGACUACUGUACAAUUUGGGCAUCAACGAUGUGAGGAUUUGAAAUUGGGAUAAAAUGAUUGGAUAUGAGAAAGUUGGGGUUCUUACUGCAAAAGUCAUGUUUUACAUCUGGCUGGCAGUAGGGGGGUUUUCGUGAAAUGUACAAUAAGUUGUCUGAAAUGCCUCCACUCCAAUCUGUGCCGUCCAUAUUCAAUCCAACAGCCCAUGUUUCUUUUUUCUAUUCUUCUACCAUAAGCUCAGCUUUUAUACUAGUUGCUCCCCCAUGAUAUUCACAGCAAGAUAUACUGGCUGGUGUGCUGCCCACCCAGCAAGAACAAAAAAAAAAGUUCAAAGCUCACCAUUUUUAAUUGCAUUCCAAGUU